ACGAUAGAUCAUAGUGCCUGGAAUGGCUUAUGGUCCAAACAGUUUACUGCCAUGGGAUGGGACUGCGGCCUAUCAGCUUGUUGGUGAGGUAAUGGCCCACCAAGGCGAUUACAGGUACGGGCUCUGAGAGGAGAAGCCCGGAGAUGGGUACUGAGACACGGACCCAGGCCCUAUGGGGCGCAGCAGGCGAGAAACCUUAGCAAUGUGCGAAAGCACGACUGGGUCAGUCCGAGUGAUUCCUGAUAAAGGAGUCUUUUGCCUGUCCUAAAAACACAGGUGAAUAAGGGGUGGGCAAGUCUGGUGUCAGCCGCCGCGGUAAUACCAGCACCUCGAGUGGUCAGGACGUUUAUUGGGCCUAAAGCAUCCGUAGCCGGCGCUGCAAGUCUUCGGUUAAAUCCACCUGCUCAACAGAUGGGCUGCUGGAGAUACUACAGCGCUAGGGAGUGGGAGAGGCAGACGGUAUUCAGUGGGUAGGGGUAAAAUCCUCUGAUCCAUUGAGGACCACCAGUGGCGAAGGCGGUCUACCAGAACACGUUCGACGGUGAGGGAUGAAGCUGGGGGAGCAAACCGGAUUAGAUACCGGGUAGUCCCAGCUGUAAA
rnacentral:rRNA from 1 species